rnacentral:rRNA from 1 species
AUUGAACGCUGGCGGCAUGCCUUACACAUGCAAGUCGAACGGUAACAGGUCUUCGGAUGCUGACGAGUGGCGAACGGGUGAGUAAUACAUCGGAACGUGCCUAGUAGUGGGGGAUAACUACUCGAAAGAGUGGCUAAUACCGCAUGAGAUCUACGGAUGAAAGCAGGGGAUCGCAAGACCUUGUGCUACUAGAGCGGCCGAUGGCAGAUUAGGUAGUUGGUGGGAUAAAAGCUUACCAAGCCGACGAUCUGUAGCUGGUCUGAGAGGACGAUCAGCCACACUGGGACUGAGACACGGCGCAGACUGCUACGGGAGGCAGCGGUGGGGAAUUUUGGACAAUGGGCGCAAGCCUGAUCCAGCAAUGCCGCGUGCAGGAUGAAGGCCUUCGGGUGGUAAACUGCUUUUGUACGGAACGAAAAGCCCUGGGUUAAUACCCUGGGGUCAUGACGGUACCGUAAGAAUAAGCACCGGCAAACUACGUGCCAGCCGCCGCCGUAACAC